rnacentral:rRNA from 1 species
UGGGGGGAUAUUGCACAAUGGGGGGAACCCUGAUGCAGCGACGCCGCGUGAGUGAAGAAGCGCCUCGGCGCGUAAAGCUCUGUCAGCAGGGAAGAAGAUGACGGUACCUGACCAAGAAGCCCGGCUAACUACGUGCC